GACGAACGCUGGCGGCGUGCUUAACACAUGCAAGUCGAACGGAAAGGCCCUGCUUUUGUGGGGUGCUCGAGUGGCGAACGGGUGAGUAACACGUGAGUAACCUGCCCUUGACUUUGGGAUAACUUCAGGAAACUGGGGCUAAUACCGGAUAGGAGCUCCUGCUGCAUGGUGGGGGUUGGAAAGUUUCGGCGGUUGGGGAUGGACUCGCGGCUUAUCAGCUUGUUGGUGGGGUAGUGGCUUACCAAGGCUUUGACGGGUAGCCGGCCUGAGCGGGUGACCGGCCACAUUGGGACUGAGAUACGGCCCAGACUACUACGGGACGCAGCAGUGGGGAAUAUUGCACAAUGGGCGGAAGCCUGAUGCAGCAACGCCGCGUGCGGGAUGACGGCCUUCGGGUUGUAAACCGCUUUCGCCUGUGACGAAGCGUGAGUGACGGUAAUGGGUAAAGAAGCACCGGCUAACUACGUG
rnacentral:rRNA from 1 species